rnacentral:rRNA from 1 species
GCCUUGGCGGGGGCCUAACAAUGCAAGUCGAGCGGAAACGAGUUAACUGAACCUUCGGGGGACGUUAACGGCGUCGAGCGGCGGACGGGUGAGUAAUGCCUAGGAAAUUGCCCUGAUGUGGGGGAUAACCAUUGGAAACGAUGGCUAAUACCGCAUGAUGCCUACGGGCCAAAGAGGGGGACCUUCGGGCCUCUCGCGUCAGGAUAUGCCUAGGUGGGAUUAGCUAGUUGGUGAGGUAAGGGCUCACCAAGGCGACGAUCCCUAGCUGGUCUGAGAGGAUGAUCAGCCACACUGGAACUGAGACACGGUCCAGACUCCUACGGGAGGCAGCAGUGGGGAAUAUUGCACAAUGGGCGCAAGCCUGAUGCAGCCAUGCCGCGUGUGUGAAGAAGGCCUUCGGGUUGUAAAGCACUUUCAGUCGUGAGGAAGGUUUAGGGGUUAAUAGCUGAUUUAUUUGACGUUAGCGACAGAAGAAGCACCGGCUAACUCCGUGCCAGCAGCCGCGGUAAUACGGAGGGUGCGAGCGUUAAUCGGAAUUACUGGGCGUAAAGCGCAUGCAGGUGGUUUGUUAAGUCAGAUGUGAAAGCCCGGGGCUCAACCUCGGAAUAGCAUUUGAAACUGGCAGACUAGAGUACUGUAGAGGGGGGUAGAAUUUCAGGUGUAGCGGUGAAAUGCGUAGAGAUCUGAAGGAAUACCGGUGGCGAAGGCGGCCCCCUGGACAGAUACUGACACUCAGAUGCGAAAGCGUGGGGAGCAAACAGGAUUAGAUACCCUGGUAGUCCACGCCGUAAACGAUGUCUACUUGGAGGUUGUGGCCUUGAGCCGUGGCUUUCGGAGCUAACGCGUUAAGUAGACCGCCUGGGGAGUACGGUCGCAAGAUUAAAACUCAAAUGAAUUGACGGGGGCCCGCACAAGCGGUGGAGCAUGUGGUUUAAUUCGAUGCAACGCGAAGAACCUUACCUACUCUUGACAUCCAGAGAACUUUUCAGAGAUGGAUUGGUGCCUUCGGGAACUCUGAGACAGGUGCUGCAUGGCUGUCGUCAGCUCGUGUUGUGAAAUGUUGGGUUAAGUCCCGCAACGAGCGCAACCCUUAUCCUUGUUUGCCAGCGAGUAAUGUCGGGAACUCCAGGGAGACUGCCGGUGAUAAACCGGAGGAAGGUGGGGACGACGUCAAGUCAUCAUGGCCCUUACGAGUAGGGCUACACACGUGCUACAAUGGCGCAUACAGAGGGCGGCCAACUUGCGAAAGUGAGCGAAUCCCAAAAAGUGCGUCGUAGUCCGGAUUGGAGUCUGCAACUCGACUCCAUGAAGUCGGAAUCGCUAGUAAUCGUGGAUCAGAAUGCCACGGUGAAUACGUUCCCGGGCCUUGUACACACCGCCCGUCACACCAUGGGAGUGGGCUGCAAAAGAAGUAGGUAGUUUAACCUUCGGGGGGACGCUUACCACUUGUGUUCAACGU